AUAGACAUAGAGGGGAGAAAAGGAUUUAUAUCUACCAUUUACCGGGGAGAAUAUCGCAAAUAGGAAUUACAACUGCCGGUUCAUCUGGUAGAAGACCAAAAGAGAAAAGAAAAUUUGUCACGGUUAAGAUGAACAUAUCAAGGAUAGACUCAACAAAGAGGAAUGGGGUUUACAACUACCCUUUUACUGGGUAGAAUACCAAAGAAAGAGACAAUCUGUCACUUGU
rnacentral:lncRNA from 1 species